CGAUAAAAUAAUGAAAACAUAUAAAUCAUUAUCACCGGAAAUCCUAAGGUUUCUAUGAUUUUAGUUAAACUUCAUUGAGUUAUUCGGUUUCUAAGUGUAAAAAUGAAAAUUUUUUAUGAAUGAAAAAAGAUUAAUAAUUCUUUAAUAAAUUUUAGUGACAAUAAUUUUAUUAAUAAUUUAAUUUUAAGGAUAUUUAAUUAUUUAAUAAACUUAUUCAAGAAAUAACUAAUUAAUAUUAACCGUACUUAAACCGACACAGGUGGAUGAAUAGAGCAUAUUAAGGUGAUUGGAAGAACAAUUUUGAAGGAACUCGGCAAAAUAAUUCCGUAACUUCGGGAGAAGGAAUACUCCUUAAUAAUUAUAAAGAUUUUAUUUUAUUAAAAGUGAAUUAUUAUUGAAUGAUUGGUGUAACAGAAAA
rnacentral:rRNA from 1 species